GACGAACGCUGGCGGCGUUCUUAACACAUGCAAGUCGAACGGACAGGCCCUGCUUUUGUGGGGUGCUCGAGUGGCGAACGGGUGUGUAACACGUGAGUAACCUGCCCUUGACUUUGGGAUAAAUUCAGGGAACUGGGGCUAUUACCGGGUAGGAGCUCCUGCUGCAUGGUGGGGGUUGGAAAGUUUCGGCCGUUGUGGAUGGACUCGCGGCUUAUCAGCUUGUUGGGGGGGUAGUGGCUUACCAAGGCUUUGACGGGUAGCCGGCCUGAGAGGGGGACCGGCGACAUUGGGACUAAGAGACGGCCCAGAAUCCAACGGGAGGCAGAGGGGGGGAAUAUUGCAGAAUGGGCGGAAGCCUGAUGCAGCAACGCCGCGUGCGGGAUGACGGCCUUCGGGUUGUAAACCGCUUUGGACGGUGAAGAAGCGGGAGUGACGGUAACGGAUAAAAAAGCACCGGCUAACUACGUG
rnacentral:rRNA from 1 species